GUAAAAUUUUCCUUUUAAUUUAUUUUCUACUAACCUUUACAUUUGCUAAAUUUUAAUUGAUUGCUUGCGAGGUUGUUCAUGAGUGAAUCUGUCAAUUUUAAUUAGCUUUUAUUGAGCACAUGCAACAUCUUGGUUAUGGAAGUGUUGUUUUAUUAAUUAUUGAUAUGCCCACUUAUGAUAUCUUGCAAAUAAGGCACUACCUGGGCUAUCCUUUUGAUAGACGCUUGCAAAGCAUGGGAUCUCAUGGAGAAGGUUGCACUUAGUUAUAGAAAAGUAUAUGAAUAGUCAUCACUGAAUCUAAAUGUGAUCAACAUCAGAGUUAGUCAUACAAAACUCAAGGAAAUGUUGGUUCUAGCUAGGUCUUAUAGGCGAUCAUCUCUGUAAUAAUGGAAAGAUUGUUCCAUUAAAGUAAUGGACGAUACAAAGAUGAAUCAUAUACUUAUUAAAGGAAAUGAAUGGGGAAGGAAACUGUAGGGAAUAGGGAUAGUGAUUGGCAAGCAGGAUCCAAAUUGAAAUAUCUGAUGAUUGAGUUCUAGUGACUCAAGUUUAUGGUGUUGCAACCACAGCCUCUAUGUAGAUAAAUGAGUUCUCGUUGUCCAAAUGGUCUGGAGCAGGAGCUGCAGGCCUUUAAGGAUUGGCAGUUGCGUGCUGGCAAAGGUAAGAGUCCUCCUUAUGCAUCUCCCAGGUUCAAUUUCUGGCUUCAUCUGUCUGUUAACCCUCUUGGCUGUCUUAUCAGGAUUAUGUUGCUUAGACAGUAUUUAUUUAGGAUUCCCUGUUACUGAGAAAAACAAAAUUUUGGAGCUAUGAAAGUUCAAGGGAAAAACAGAAGAGAACAUAAAAUGGAGCAUUCCAUUCAGAAAUUGAAAAAAUGGAAGGAAAUGCACUGCAAUGAACUGUUCUCAAGAAUUUUUUAUGUGACGCUUCAUGCUUGAGUUAUUUUCUGCUUUUCAUUAUUUAAUACGAUGUGGCUAGAUGCUAGUGUAUUUAAUAUGCGUCUCAGAAGCAACUAUUUAGUCUAUUUUUGUUUUGCCUUUGCCUAGUUAUGGUUUGUUAUUGACUUAUGGCAUGUAGUUAGCAAUGGUACUGUGAUUUCUUAUUUCAUAUUUUGGUUAAAUUACCUGCAACAUUCAUGUUGCAUUCUCAUGCAGGUCCUAGAAUUACAGUUCCUAGG
rnacentral:misc_RNA from 1 species